rnacentral:rRNA from 1 species
UACAGAGGGUGCAAGCGUUAAUCGGAAUAACUGGGCGUAAAGCGUGCGUAGACGGUUAUUUAAGUCAGGUGUGAAAGCCCCGGGCUCAACCUGGGAAUUGCAUUUGAGACUGAAUAGCUAGGGUGCGGAAGAGGGAAGCGGAAUUUCCGGUGUAGCGGUGAAAUGCGUAGAUAUCGGAAGGAACACCAGUGGCGAAAGCGGCUUCCUGGUCCAGCACCGACGUUCAGGCACGAAAGCGUGGGGAGCAAACAGG